CGUCGUGUUCCACCUUCCCCCAUAAAAAACGACACCACUUCGUCUAUUCCCCUGCUUGCAAAUUGCAAUCCACCCAAUCGCGUCACCCCCUGGAUCGGAUCUCAUCUCAUCUCUAUCUUUCAAACCAAAUAGGUCGCCGACCUCUCCUCCUCUCUCUCUCCUCAAUCACCACUUCCGACAUCUCAAAAGAAAUAAUUCUAGCAAAUGGACCCUCGCCCGUCGGUCUUCUCCCCCGUCUGACCUCGUCGUUUCACCUAAUUUCUGGAUCAGCUCCGCACGACGGCUAAUCCGACUAAUUUCCCUUACCAGUUGUGACGACGACUUAGCGACGGCGGCUCGGACUGUGUUUAAGUUGACAAUUAGGUAGGUAUUUGUUUCCGUGACGACGACUGGUAGCUCGGACUCUUAAUUUUGUUGACGAUUAGGUAUUUGUUUCAGAGACAACGACUUAACGACGGCAACUUGGACUCUAAUUUGGCUGACGAAUAGAGGACUGUAAGUAGUGGAGCAGCUUGGGAGUUUGUACCUGAGAAACUUGUCGACUUUGCGCCAAUGGCCGUUAAGCUUGUAAAUUGUACAGAGAAUAUGGUUCCUGCUCUAUUACCUGUUCUUGGCACAUCUUUUACUUGGGGGUUUGUUGUUUCUCCUCUAUGGCGUUGUUCUUUGGGGAAUUUUGGUUGAAGACUCAUCGAGUACCAUUAACUUUUGGGGUUUUAGUUUGUAAAUAGAGGUUUCCCUUGUAGAUAAAUGGACUCAAAGUGGGUUGAAGUAUUGGAUAAUGGUUGUAGAAGAGUUGGUGACUCCAACAGAAGACGGGCAGCCAAAUGUGCCGCCAAUAUUGCUCGAGCAAGCCACAAGGUGUUCUCACUUUCUCCCAAGCAUAAUUCAUUGCUUAGUAAGCUUGGCAAGCGGAAGAGAUUGGGUUCAUGCAAAACCAAUUGUGGACAAUCCCUAGUUCAGAAUUAUUCUAAUUAUCUAAGAAGUGGACUGCCACAGCGUUUGCUGUUUUAUCAGGAUGGUGAAUGGAAUGAUUUUCCUGAGGCGAUUGUUGCAUUGGUCAGGAAAGAUUUCCAAAUGAAGAAAGCUGCAAUAGAAGUGCAGUUCAAUGGAUGGCAUAUAAUACUAGAUGUCUUGUAUAUGCUUCAAGUUGAUCUUAAGACAGGUUCACAGAAGCCUAUAGCGUGGAUUGAUGAAGCAGGUCAGUGCUUUUUUCCUCAAUCAUACUCUUCUGGCAGUAGGACAUAUGAAUGCAACCAGUCCGAUUUAGAUAAAGAUGGAAAAUUUGUGUAUCCGGAGCCAAAUGGGACCCGUGAAAUCAAGUUGCAUCUUCAUAUUGAAUUAAGUGGAGCCAAUGGCUCUAAUUUGGAGGAAUGUGUGGAAGAGUCAAAUACUCGUGUUAAGCGGGUUAGAAUUAACGAAAAACUUGGUGAAAACCGUGAUGAACUGAAUGUUAAUGAUAAUUGCAAUGGAAAAUCUGAUGCAAAAAUGGAAGAGUCUGUCAAGGAAGUUCAACAGAUUGGUGACCAUUUCUUCCCCAGGUUUGAAGGUGAUUUUGAAGCUGUGAAUUCAGAUAUCGUCAGAAACAUGUUAAUUAAGGGCAUGGACCUGUCCCUACGACCGGAAAUACUUGAAAUUAACCGAUGCAAUAGUAAUAUAUUGCAAACUCGGUGGGAAAUUUUCCUGAAACAGGCUGAAAUUACCUGCAAGUAUCGGGGAGAUCCAAACAUUCAGUAUGCCUGGCUUGCUUCUACUAAAGAUUCAAUUUCUAGCCUCAUGAUGUUUGGGCUUACAGAUUGUGGACCCAAACUGAAGAAGACAUUUGGUGUUGGAGUUCACCUCAAACCAGUGAACCGCGCCCUCCCCAGCGCAAGUUAUUGUGAUGUUGACGAAAAUGGAGUACGACACGUGGUGUUGUGCCGUGUCAUAUUGGGGAAAGUGGAACUUGUUCGUCAUGGAUCUGAACAAUUUCAUCCCAGUAGUGAAAACUUUGAUAGUGGAGUUGAUGAUCUGGAAAAUCCUAAUCAUUAUAUUGUUUGGAACAUGAAUGUGGGUACGCAUAUCUAUCCAGAAUAUGUUGUCAGUUUCAAGAUAUCCCACAGUGCUGAAGGUGCUAUCAUUGGGAAAGAAAGCAGGUUUGAUAUUCCUGGGGUUACUUCUUGUCAGGAACAUCAUCACCUUCAACUCCAGUUAGAUUCAGCUUCAGUUGUUUCAGAGAGCCAUCCAUGUCAAGCUCCAUGUCAAGAUUUUGUGAACAAUUUUGAGGGAAAGGCCCCAAGUGUUGGUUCAACCACCUCCAAAACUCCUAAAUCCCCUUGGAUGCCUUUGGUUAUGUUGUUUGGUGCCAUCUCAAGUAAAAUAGAUCCUAAAGAUAUGAAAAUGGUGUAUGAUCAUUAUGACUCAUUCAGGAGCAAGAAAAUUAGCCGCGAUGAAUUUAUUAAAAAGUUGAGAUUGAUUGUUGGGGAUCAGUUGUUGAGGUCUACGUUAACCAGUCUCCAGUGUAAGCUACCUUCCAAUUUGGUCAGCCAACCGAAAGUACCCAAGGAGGAGCAAGAAGGUUGAGGCGGACCAAGUUCUCAUCCAGUGUAUAAUCCUCCAGUUUUGGACUGUUGUAGGCUCAUCUUGAGUCCAAAACAAUGAUUAAUCCUCCAGUGUGUCCAGUUUUGGACUGUUGUAGGCUCAUCUUGAGUCCAAAACGAUGUUCAGAACCGUUCCUAUUUUACGUAUUGCGAAGAAGCAUGUCCGUGUGAACAAUUAGCUUGAUUAGACACCGAUAGCUGUGUUAACUUUUACGUUUGUUGGAGACAAAAUGAACCCUCCAAACUUUUACUUUUACGGUUCAUUCUGGCUCCCAUAAAUGACUUGUUAACACAGCUAUCAGUAUCCGAUCAAGCUAAUUUUUUUGCACGGACGUAUUUCUUUGCGAUAUCUAAAAUCUGAACGGUCCGAUCAUUUAUUAUAACUCGGGAUGGGCCCAAAAUUGGUCCGAAACUGGACCACUCUGGAGUAUUAUACACCGGAUGAGAACUUGGUCCGAGGCGGACGCUGGUACUGGUUUACUUCCGUCUUCUCAUGGUCCGAUGUAUCCAGAAGGAAUUUGUUACUGCUUUGCGUGAGAUUGUAUUGACAUGAAGUUGUGUACAAAAGAGAGAGAGAGAGAGAGGGGCUGGGGUUGUCAGUGUGAUCAACUUUGUGUUAAAGAAUUAUUUGAAAAGUCGAUUUUUCAAGGAAAUAUCAAACUAAACACAGAUUGCAGUUGGUAUGAAGCAGACAGAAAGGCAGGUUUUGGUGGCAUAUUCUGAAAUGGAGUAACAAGGGAGAAUGGCUUCUGGCUCAUGGGAAGAUGGAGGCAGAUUCAAGCUUGGCAACAGAGACAUGGGCUAUCUACAGGGGAUUGACCAUCAUACUAUUGAAGAAAGGCAUGACUAAUGUGAAAUUGGAGACGGAUGCUCUAGCGGUUGUCCUGUCAAGAUGAUAUCAGAGGAUAACAACGAGAAUCACCCCCAAAUUAAGCAACAUCAUCAACGAUGCAAGAAUUCUCAUUAACCGCACGGGCACAAAUCUAACCCACAUAUUCCGGGAAGCCAGCAUCAUCUACUCUAACCGGCCCACAUAUUACAAAAUAACAAUCUCGUUGUCUCUAUUGACCCUUCCCAAUUUCCAUUAGGGAAUUCAUGAUACGGGACAGUCUUAAUGUUAGGCAAAUUCUUGACUGAGGGUUAUGCUCCCUAGUCUGGUUAUGUAUUUGAACUAUUUGCACUUCUGGACCCUCGUUUGGUUCUAGAUUUAUGAAAUUCCGACGUACCAAAAGAAAAAAAAACUUGAGCUUGA